GCGUACCGCGUGAGCGACAUGCCCGUUGCCCGGGGACAACCGGUGGAAACGCCGACUAAUCCCCGAUGGGAUACGAUGCUUCAUGGCAUUGUAUUGAAAGUUACGGCGGCGACGGAUUGGCUCGCGUCCGAUUAGCUUGUUGGCGGGGUAACGGCCCACCAAGGCUACGAUCGGUAGGGGUUCUGAGAGGAAGGCCCCCCACAAUGGGACUGAGACACGGCCCAUACUCCUACGGGAGGCAGCAGUGAGGAAUAUUGGUCAAUGGGCGGAAGCCUGAACCAGCCAUGCCGCGUGCGGGAAGGAGGCCCUAUGGGCUGUGAACCGCUUUUGCCUGGGGGCAAUAAGGGCGUCGCGCACGUCCGAUGAGAGUACCAGGCGAAUAAGCAUCGGCUAACUCCGUGCCAGCAGCCGCGGUAAUACGGGGGAUGCGAGCGUUAUCCGGAUUCAUUGGGUUUAAAGGGUGCGUAGGCUGUGCGUCAAGUCGGGGGUGAAAUUCCGGUGCUCA
rnacentral:rRNA from 1 species